rnacentral:SRP_RNA from 1 species
GCUAGGUGUGGUAGCACACCUAUAGUCCCAGCUACUUGGGAAGCUGAGGAAGGAGGAUCAUUUGCAUCUAGCAGUUCUAGGCUAUAGUGAGCAACAAGGAUUAGGUGUCUUCACUAAGUGUGGCAUCAAUAUGGUGCUCUCUGAGGAGUGAUAGACCACCAGGUUCCCUAAAGAGGGGAGAACCGGCCCAGGUCAGAAACAGAGCAGGUCAAAACUGCUGUACUGAUCAGUAGUGGAAUCAUUCCUGUGAAUAGCCACGAAUCCUGUCUCUAAAACUAGAGGAUGAAAUAGAGCCA